CUAUGUCAGUGCAGAAGCAGAACUUUGUGCGGUUUUCUGCUACACGGUAAUUAGUGUAGCUAUGUCACUAGACCACCAGACUCUAAGGUCAUUCUCCGGAGACAUGUCAGCCAUAGUUUUUGCCAAUUCCAAAUUUACCUUAAGAGCCAAAUCCACAGCCGAUUCCCACAGGUUUAGUAAAGCGUAAAGUUUUACACAGGCUUCAUUUUGCUGUUGCUCCGCACAGAGUCGUAAAGCGAAAUAUACGUCGUAAUUGAUCUAAAUAUUUGAUCAAAUUAAUAUUUAAAAAAUGCACCACAAUAUAUGAAAAGCAAUUAAUGUGCUGACAUUUCAAAAAAUUAAUUAAAAUACUCUGACUGGAGAGAAUAAAACUAUAAAUACUAAAAACGUAUUUCUUACCAAGCUCACUUCUUGACCCUGUGAAUUGAGGUAUUCCAUAAGUUUCUUUGAGUCGUAUUUAGCAUAUAAUGAGACUAAUAAAUUGUGUAUAGCCUU